rnacentral:rRNA from 1 species
GACGAACGCUGGCGGCGUGCUUAACACAUGCAAGUCGAACGGAAAGGCCCUGCUUUUGUGGGGUGCUCGAGUGGCGAACGGGUGAGUAACACGUGAGUAACCUGCCCUUGACUUUGGGAUAACUUCAGGAAACUGGGGCUAAUACCGGAUAGGAGCUCCUGCUGCAUGGUGGGGGUUGGAAAGUUUCGGCGGUUGGGGAUGGACUCGAGGCUUAUCAGCUUGUUGGUGGGGUAGUGGCUGACCAAGGCUUUGACGGGUAGCCGGCCUGAGAGGGUGACCGGCCACAUUGGGCCUGAGAUACGGCCCAGAAUCCUACGGGAGGCAACAGUGGGGAGUAUUGCACAAUGGGCGGAAGCCUGAUGCAGCAACGCCGCGUGCGGGAUGACGGCCUUCGGGUUGUAAACCGCUUUCGCCUGUGACGAAGCGUGAGUGACGGUAAUGGGUAAAGAAGCACCGGCUAACUACGU